rnacentral:rRNA from 1 species
GACGAACCGUGCGAACGUUAUUCGGAAUUACUGGGCGUAAAGCGUGCGUAGACGGUUGCGUAAGUCAGAUGUGAAAGCCCCGGGCUCAACCUGGGAAUUGCAUUUGAGACUGCUCUGCUCGGGUGCGGAAGAGGGAAGCGGGAAUUUCCGGUGUAGCGGUGAAAUGCGUAGAUAUCGGAAGGAACACCAGUGGCGAAAGCGGCUUCCUGGUCCGACACCGACGUUCAGGCACGAAAGCGUGGGGAGCAAACAGG